rnacentral:lncRNA from 1 species
GCUUAAAUUCUCCUUGUUUUUUUUUUUUUAAUUUUUUAUUUAUUUAUGAUAGUCACACACAGAGAGAGAGAGGCAGAGCCAUAGGCAGAGGGAGAAGCAGGCUCCAUGCACCGGGAGCCUGACAUGGGAUUCGAUCCCGGGUCUCCAGGAUCGCGCCCUGGGCCAAAGGAAGGCGCUAAACCGCUGCGCCACCCAGGGAUCCCUGAACCUGGUUUUCUAACCUGCUGUGGAUUCUAUGAGUUACACAAGACCCACUGCUAUGGAUUCCCUUCCACCUUUCAGUCUGCAACCCAGCUGUGUGGACACUGAUAAAUCACUUUAUCUAGCUGUGCCUUUGAGCACUGUCAGAUGGGGCUGGUAACAGCCACUGGGACUGGCCCAACACAGGCUGCACUCUUCUUUCCCAGGGGAAGCUCCCAGAAAAGAUGUGGCUGACUUGGGCUCAACUUUUUGAGAAUAAAAAUGAAAUGGAUGUCAAUUUGUAAUAUUCAUUAACUUGGUUUUAUGUGCAGAUUUCCAAUCAGAGAUACACCCAUGAAAUGUUUAGAAAACAUUUUUCACUCUUACUUUUCCGAAAAUGACUCAAACUUCUUUUUGUGUUGCUAUCACCACGGUGUCCCCAUCAUGCCAAUGCUCCCUGUGCCAACAAAACAGAUUUCCAGGGCUCAUCAUCUUGUCUUUUUUCUGGAUUGUUUGAGCUACAACAUUUUUUAAAAUCCUGUGUGAUACUGUCACUAGUAAGUUAUCUCAUUCAUGUAGAACUAGGAUAGUUGCUUUUACCAUAUGUCCUUAAAAAAAAAAACCACGCCUUUUUAAAUUAUAAAAUAUAAUAGAGAAGUCUGUCUGAGACAUAAAUGUUGUGAGUUAUCAUAAAGCAAAACUGACAUAACCACUGCCCUGGUCAAGAACUAAAACACUGGCGGUAAUCCCAAAGCCUCUGCACAUCCCCUUGGUGCUCCAAAGGCAUCCGCACCCUGGUUUUUAUGGUAAUGUUAUGGUAACCACUUCCUUAUCUUUAUAUUUUUACCAAAAAUAUACAUCUGCAAACAUUGUAAUUCUUGCCUAUUUUCGAACAUCACAUAUAAAAGGGAUCACAUAUACUCCUUUAGGCUAGCUUUUUUUACUCACCAUAUGUUCUAGAUUCACCCGCAUUUUUGCAUCGAGUUGCAUUUCAUUUUUUGUUACUGAUAAUAUCCCGCCGUAUGACUAGAUCACAUUCAUCUGUUCCACUGCUGAUGGACCCUGGGGGCCGUUAGAAACAAUGCUGCUGAGAAUGUUCUCAUAUGUGCUCCCGAAGUGUGUACUGGUAAAGGCACUGCUGACCACAGGACGGGCCUAGCUUCAGGUUCACUGGAUAGUGUCAGACUGACUUCCCCAGGGGUAGCAGCAACUUAUACUUCCACUUGGCAUAACCUAUAGGCAACUCCUUGUGGGUUUAAUUCCUAUUCCCCUGCUUUCUAGCUAAAAUUGAGCAUUUUGUCAGGUCUGUUAGCCAUUUGUAGUUCCGCUUUCUUCUUAAGUGCCUGUUCAGGUCCUUUACCUUUUUCACAAUUUAAAUGUCUGGGGGCACCUCGGUGGUUCAGUGGUUGAGCUUCCACCUUUGGCUCAGGUGGUGAUCCCAGGAUCCUGGGAUUAAGUCCCGCAUCAGUCUCCCCGCAGGGAGCCCGCUUCUCCCUCUGCUGAGUCUCUGCCUCUCUCUCAAUGUGUCAAAUAAAUAAAUAAAUAAAAUCUUUAAAAUUAAAAAAUAAACAAUUUAAAUGUCUGUCUUUUUCUUACUGACUGGCAGUUCUUCCUAUGUUCUGGAUCCUAGCCCUUUGUUGGUUAUGUGUGUUGCAGAUAUCUUCUGUUCUGUGACUGGCCUUUUUACCCUUUUAAUGGUGUCUUGAUAAAGACCCAUUUUUGACUUUAAAGUAGUUGAAUUUAUAAUCUUUUCUGUUAUAGGUGGUGCUUUCUACAUCUCUUUUGUAGAAAUCCUUGCCUAUCUCAAUAUUUUUAAGAUAUUUUCUUAUAUGGAGGCACCUGGGUAGCUCAGUCGGUGAAGUGACUCUUGAUUUCAGCUCAGGUCUUCAUCUAAUGGUCACGAGUGAGCCCCACGUUGGGUUCCAUGUUGGGUGUGGAGCCUACGUUUAAAAAAAAGAGAGAUUUUCUUAUAUUUCUUCAAGAAGUUUUGCUUUUCACAUUUAAAUCUGUAAUUAGAGUAGCCAUAAAGCUAGGUUUAUAACUCCCGUCCUAGCAUCUCUUCCAGCUAGCAAUCCCUUUUACUCUUAAGGGCAUCUGGAAAUUUCCUUAGGCUUUUCUUCUUGGAAUGAGUUAGCAACAGUUGACUCUAAUCCUAGCCACCAGAGAUUACUGGGUUUUGGAGAGGUACAGAGAAGCAUACCAGAAUGCCUCAGAAGAGCCAGCCUGGGCCUGGCUUUCACGCCUAGUGGUGGGGUGGCACCCAUUCUUGGUGCUCUGCCUGCCUGGGAGAGCUGUGGUGAGCCCAGCAGAGCUGAGGCCAGGAACUCCCUUAUCAGUCACCACCCAGGGCAGAGCCUACCUGUGGCAACCAACAGCAGAGCUCCAUUUCGGUGCUGGAAAGAGAGUUGAUGGGAUUUGAGAUAGGAAGCAUCACUCCAGAGUAUGUUAAUAAUAAACUUCAUUUGUGUAAAUGAUGGAAAAACACAAUGAAGGACAUUUUAGGUACAAGUGUCUUGUCUGACGAGUUAUAUCUCUGGAAUCAGAUAUACAGUAUGUUUCUUUUACAUGCAAGUAAAAACAUAGAUGAUGGUUUGGUUUUUGAACUGUCUGUGUGAAUUUGCGGCCAUUAGAAAUUCCUGGGCACGUGGUGGGGCUCAAUCGGUGCAGCAUGUGGAUCUUGAUCUUGGGGUUGUGAGUUCAAGCCCCACACUGGGUGCAGAGUUACUUAAAAAUCUUAAAAAAAAAAAAAAAACAAUAAGAAGUUCUUCAAACUACUGUCAACCAGGAGCCAUCAUGUGGUCUGGUGCAGAGUGCUGCAUACAGUGAGUGCAAAGUCCAUCCUGUGUGAGAAGCCUCUGGCCCAGGAGAGAAACAGACCUGUAUACCUACUGGUGUAUAAAUAAUCAGGACUUUAAAGGUAUGAGUGCAAGCUUUAUGUUGCUUCCUGGGGCGUAGUUUAUGUUUCGCAAACUAACCUGGGUAUUGUCUACUACUGACCCUUGUACUUUACCAAUGACCUUAUCACUUUACCCUCCUCCACCUCUUAUUAAACACCUUUAUACACACAGCUCAAAUACACCUCUAUGGGUUAUAGUACUUCCUGCCUUCUCGUGUAAGUUCUCAUGCCUUCUCCCUGAUUGGACCUUUUCUGCUCCAGGUAAAAAGGUCUCUCAGCCAGUUUGAAUCCCCAGCAUUGCUAGCACUAACCUAACAUGUAGGUUAGGCAUAACUCCAAAGAUGGCUGUUGAAUGAACCCUUGCCUUGGCCAUGUCUGUGGGAGUCUGGAUAAUCAGACAACGGAGAUGGUGGCUAACACUGGCUUCCAGGUUUAGCUCACUGUUUGCUGCUGUUUUAGAUUUUAGGUGUUGUAGGUUUCUUCAUAGAAACAAAAACAGUUUUUCACUUUAAGGCAUCGUUACCUAGAUGAAUCAGGACAUGCACAUGAACUUUGGAGUUGUCCUUUUCAACAGAUGGUUUCAGCAAAUUUUCCUCUGCCAGAGAUUCAGUCGGGGGGGAUGGGUAGAGUGGGUUGGGGAAUGCCACAUUCUUAACUGCUUCCUCUAGCACCUUAAUAACUCUGUACAGUGUGGGUUAGUGGGAGUGAGGCACUACUGAUGGAGCGGUGACAAGGGGUAGCUGAAGUCCCUGAGCAAUGCUGCCCAGGGUCCUGCCUUACCAGUACCAGGCUCACAGGCAGACAUCUGACUUGUGGGCUUUACAAAGGGAGGGAUAGGGGCACCUUGGUGGCUCAGUGGUUGAGCAUCUGUGUUUGGCUCAGGUCAUGAUCCCAGGGUCCUGGGAUUGAGUCCCACAUCGGACUCCCUGCUCAGUGCAGAGUUUGCUUCUCCCUCUACCCCACUUCCCCUGCUGGUACUUUCUCUUUCAAAUAAAUAAAUUAAAUUAAAAAAAAAAAGAAAGUCACUCCCUCAAACUUAUUGCAGUGUGGUCAGGGAUAUAUAUAGGAAAACAAUAAGACAGGAUGUGGCGGGCACAGAAUAAAGAACAUACAAGAUGAGGGCAUAAUAACCCAUGUCUGGAUCCCUGGGUGGCUCAGUGGUUUGGCCCCUGCCUUUGGCGUGAUCCUGGGGUCCCAGGAUCGAGUCCCAUGUCAGGUUCCCUGCAUGGAGCCUGCUUCUCCCUCUGCCUGUGUCUCUGGCUCUCUCUGUGUGUCUCUCAUAAAUAAAUAAAUAAAUAAAUAAAUAAAUAAAUAAAUAAAUAAAUAAAUAAAAUCUUAAAAAAAAAAAUAACCCAUGUCCGUGUUCCUCUGGGUUUAGUGAGACAUGACCUAUGAUCUGAGACUUAUGGCUGCAUGAGAAUGGACAGCGGAAGGAGGAUGCGUAUGGCAUGUGGUAACAGUGGGGGCUGCAUAGGAGAAGUUUAGAGGUCCGAUGGGGCGAGGGGCACAGCAGCAAAUUCUGCCAAGGCUGGAGCCUAAAGAUUCAGAGAAGCGCCACAAAAUUGAGGAUACCAUGGAAGGUAGAAAUGGUGGGGAAGAGCCAGCGAUUUGGAAAGCCUGAGCUCUCUCCUGUGGCUGAUGGUCAAGUGUUGGGGAAAUCAAGACCGUCCAGCAUGUCUAUCCAGCCAUCCCUCCCUGACCCAAAAAUGAGAGACAGAUACAGUAAUGUCCAUCAUCCUGAAAGCAGCCCUCUAUCGAUCAUUUGGAAUGCCUCUCAACCCAGUGUUGCUUCUGAAACUCUGAGACUUGACACAAAUGGCCAAGAGCCUCAAACUCAAAUAUGCAGAGACUAUAAUAACAACACUAGUAAUAUGUGAGCGCUUGUAAGUGCUUUACAUGUACCUUCUCAUUUCAUCCUCCCUCCAGCCCAAAGACACGGAUGGUGUUAUUCCCAUUUUACAGAGGAGGACACAGGCUCAGAGGUAUAGUAAUUCAUAUUAAGUUAUGGAGCUGGGUGGGAUAUGAACCUACUAGUGUCUGGCCCAGGAGAGAAGUGGGAAGGACGAUAGACAGGACACAAGAAACGGAGGUUAAAAUGAAAGAGCAGGGGCGCCUGGGUGGCUCAGUGGUUGAGUGUCUGCCUUUGGCUCAGGGCUGAUCCCGGGGUCCUGGGAUGGAGUCCUGCAUCAGGCUCCUUACAGGGACCCUGCUUCUCCCUCUGCCUGUACCUCUCAUGAACAGAAUAAACAAAAGUCUUAAAAAAAAUAAAAUGAAAGAGCAGAAAUAGGAAGGAGGACUCUCAGCUGUGGUGAGGGCAGAUUUAAAAUGCAGGCGUCCUGGCAAUAAGUGAAGAGAGUCACCUCUGCAUGGGCUGAAAGAACUGGAGGGAGGAGGGGUGCAGUGUUGGUGGCAGGGGGAGGAAUCUUGGAUCCCCAGAAGUUCCACUGGGUGAGAGUCAGUUCAGGGAAACUGGAAUGAAUUGUGUGUCACAGCACAGGUGCUCUUCAGGGGUUCCGGGGAACUCCUAACUCAAGGCUUCUUUUAACAUGGAAACUGAGGCCAAGUAGAAGAAAUGGCUAUAAAGUGUCACCGACUGAACAGAAUAGAGGUCCCCUGAUCUCUAGAUGACUACUGCUCUGCUGUCUGGCAGCUACUUGUCCUCCUGCUAAUAGAACCUCCUUUUCCUCCGAGGAACCACCCCCUUGUCUCACUGAGCCCUCCUGCCAUGGGUCUUUGUGAGCUGGGGCCGCUAUAACACAAAUAUCACAGACUGGGGGUGUUCAAACCACAAACACUGAGCUCUUGCAGCUCUGAAGCUGGAAGUCCAAGAUCCAGGCACCGGCAGGUCCCGUGUCCAGUGACAGCCUGCUUCCUGGCUGGAAGACAACCCCCGCCCCCGCCCCCCACCCCACUGUAUCCUGACAAGGGGAGGGGGCGUGGGCUCUUCUGGGUUUCUUAUAAGGGCGCUACCUUCUUCUUCUUCUUUUUUUUUUAAAGAUUGUAUUUAUUUAUUCAUAAGAGACACACAGAGAGAGAGGCAGAGACACAGGCAGAGGGAGGAGCAGGCUUCACGCAGGCAGCCCCUCGUGGGACUCGAUCCUGGGUCUCCAGGAUCACGCCCUGGGCUGAAGGCGGCGCUAAACCGCUGAGCCACCUGGGCUGCCCCAAGGGUGCUACCUUCUUAGGAGGGCUCCACCUCUGUGACCCAAUAACGCACCACCAGGGCCUCAUCACCAAACACCACCCCCACUGGGGAUUAAGGUUUCGAUGUAUGAAUACUAGGGAGACACAAACAUACAGUGUACAAUAACCCACAUCUCCAGACUAAGUCAGUUCACAAAAGCUACGCUGAAGGUUACACACAAGACCACAAAACUGUCCAGGAUGAAGCAGAGGCUUUUCUGCCUCUCCUCCCACUGCUGGCCUUAGCCUAUAUGGGGCUUCCCACAACACAGCUGGUCUGCAGCCUCAGAAAGGAGCAGGGGCGAGAACCAGAGCAGAGAGGCGACCUGGGUCCCAGCCACAGGGUUUCCCCCUCUAUGUCAGGCUGUGUCUGGCCUGCCAACAGUCACGUCUGUUUUUUGUUUGUUUGUUUUUUAAUCUCCAUCCUCACUGUGGGGGUCGCUCCCGGGGUUGUCGACUGGGUGGAAUGAGGUGCAGGAGCCUCACCUGCAUCUGGGCCUGGCAGCCAGAGAGCACUCUCAUCUGAGCUAGCACUAGGCGCUAGGUUGGCCGCCUCCCAUUACGUUUUCUGUCCGUGGCAACACGAGUCUGAACAAAACAGUGGCCUGUUAUUGCCACAGCCCCAUGCUGUCCCCGCACAAUCACAAGUUUGGAGGAUUUCUCCUGAGAAGGAUAAAGCCUUGAGUUUGCGUGCUCAAAGGCGACAUUCAGUUGGAGGGGGAACCACCCAGGCAUGGGCAGCCGCCAGCUCUCCUCCUCUGCCCUCCAGGGCCUCCCGGCCGCCCCCUCCUCGCCUUACGUGCUGAGAACACGCGGCUGCCGGGCAGGUCCGGGGGGACGGCGGGCCGGGUCCCGGGGGGACAGGUCCUGGCAGGCGGGUCCUGGGGUCGGCGGGCCGGGUCCUGGCAGGCGGGUCCUGGGAGGAGGGUCCUCAGGGGUCGGCGCGCUGGGGCCUGAGGUACUACGGGUCGGGGCCUGAGGGGACAACGGGCCGGGGGGGGGGGGUGCCGGCAGGGGGCUCUCGGGGACGACGGGGGCGUCGGUGGUCUGCAGGCCCGCCCG